rfam:Callithrix jacchus chromosome 21, whole genome shotgun sequence
ACAAGGCCACCUUAAAAAUAUGUCUGCCAUACACACACACACAAAUAUGUUUGUGUAUAUGGCAGACAUAUUUUUAAGGUGGCCUUGU